GUGAGUUUUUCCUAGACCCAGUUCGACAAAAUUCGGGAACAACUUUUUUGUUGCCUCUAACUGCAUUUUCUGUUCUGGGGAAAGUUCAAUUAAUUUUGCUUCAUCUUUAAUAUUAACCUCUUUUUCAUCGUCAUAGACAUUAGCUUGUAUUUCACCGAUUUGAGGUAAUAAAUUAAACUCCCUCCAGAAGUUCAUGCCUAAAUAAAGUGUCUGGGUGAGGUUUGGGACCAGGUAGAAAGUAAGAUUUUUAGAAACACCAUUAUAUUUUGUGGAUAUUUUACAAAAUCCAAUUAUAUUGUGAGCUUUUCCGUCUGCGGUGCUAACUUUAUUUUCGUAAGAUGUUACCUUUACUCCUAUUCGCUUUACUAAAUCCAAGCACUCUUUGCCUAGUACUGAAAUUGAUGCACCGCUAUCCAAUAAUCCGAAAAUAGAUUCAUUUUCUAGUAAAACGUUGGCGUACAUUCUACCAUCUGAUUCAGAAGAAAUAAUUGAAUCAAGAAUUAGUUUUCUAACUUUCCUUCUGUUCCUAUACCUAUUCCUACAUUUUUGAACUUUUUUAUCAACUAAACUUUGUUUUGUUCCCAUUAUUCUAGCACGCGCUUUUUCAUAAGUCAUUUUUCUAUCGUGAAGAGACUUCAGAUCAUAAGUGUGGACUGGGUGACUAGAAAUUUCCGGAGGUACUUCACGCUUGAGAAUCUUGGUUGGAUUGGACUCUACCUUACUGUCUUUUUCUUCUAACAAUUGGGAAUUUUCUCCUUGGUCUUGUUGAGAGCAGGAGUUAUCAGAGAAACUUUUCAUAAAUUGUUAAAGAGAUGAGGGUGACUAAACUAUAAAAGGACUGAAGACCGAAGAAUGAGAAGAUGCCGUAGUCUUCUGAGCCAAGAUAAAAAAAUUAAAUAAACUAGUGGACAACAACAGACAACUUUUCAUCUGAGAAGACUCUAAGAAAAAUAAAAUAAAAGGAUCUACUGAGAAUCAGCUGAAAGGACUUUCGAGAACGCUCCCGCAUUACGAGUCUUCUUCCAACCUACAUCUCCAAGCAAGGGCUAAAUUGUUCGGCUUUGUGAAUACCUUAAUAGAUUUUCCACAGACUCAAACUGUUAAGCCUUUCUUGUAUUUUAAAUGUUUUUGGUGUGAAUUACCAUGUGGCAACGCGAUACCGAAACCAUACCAUCAGUCAUCGGGACUCACAGGCAGACAUCACCAAAUAUUAUAAAAAUUAAGCAAAGUUAAAAAAAAACUAAAAAAAUCAAAAAAUAAAAAAAUUUAAAUUUAAACUAAACUGCAAUCAAAUCUUGAAGUGGCUCAAAAAUCUUGGCCUCACUAUUUCGCAAUAGUGGGCAACAAUCACGUUGGGCGCCAUUUUGUAACAGGUUUGUUUGGGUACCGAAGAUCUUUGCUGGUAUGCUGGUCGCUACUGUAGCUCGUCGGUGGGUGUGGUUCUUUGAUCUUCAACCUUAUUACAAAAAAAAUAAAUAUCAUACCAGUCUAAUGUAUCUUUAGAUGUUGAAGAUACGCGAGACAAUUUUCUCACCCUCCCUUCCAUAGUCGCCGUACUCGCCUAGACGACCCUUAAAAUUGGCAUCUUCUUAUCUUCAGUACUUCCUCCUACUUACUUUGUCCCCCCCCCCCAUCUCUUUAUGUUAAAA